AGUGAACGCUGGCGGCGUGCCUAAUACAUGCAAGACGAACGAAGUGGAGCACGGGUGAGUAAUAUAUAGUUAAUCUGCCCUACACAGAGGAACAACAGUAGGAAACGACUGCUAAUACCUCAUAGUGUAUGAUGAGACUAUAUAGUAUCAGCUAGUUGGUAAGGUAAUGGCUUACCAAGGCUAUGACGCGUAACUGGUCUGAGAGGAUGAUCAGUAACAUUGGAACGUACACACGGUCCAAACUCCUGUGGGAGGCAGCCAGAAGGAAAAGUGCGCAAUGGGGGGAGAGCUGAAGCAGCGACGCGGCGUGGGGGAUGAAACUGUUCGGAACGUACAUUCCUUGUAGCAGGAAAGCGGUCCCUGAUGAAGAGACACCUGCUAACCCCGUUCCAGCCGCCGCGGGAAUAC
rnacentral:rRNA from 1 species